CUCCUCCUGCAAGAGCUUCAGGCAGUGUGGGUCCUCGCCCUCCUGGACCACCUCCUCCACCAACUGUGACUUCUGGUGCCAAAUCUGGUCCAUCUCCACCACCACCUCCAAAGGGCGGUCCAGCUCCUCCCCGACCACCACCACCGUUGCCCAUGGGUUCAAAGGUUCCUCGCCCACCUUCUGGAUUAAAGCGUCCCCCUAAUGCAGCACCAGUUGAAGGAGAUGGUGCAGAGGGUGAUGCCAAUACUCCUAAAGCCAAGCUGAAGCCAUUUUUCU
rnacentral:misc_RNA from 1 species